rnacentral:lncRNA from 1 species
ACCUACGUCCCCGUGGUUCCUCGACCAUCCAGGGCUGGAUGAAUGAAUGAAUGGAUGAGUUUGCUCCUCCCUCUCUUCUUCCCUUCCCUUCUGGUCUCCCAUCCUGCCCCAUCUGGUAGGAGGAUGAGGGGGUCUCUCAGGGACCCAGAUGUCAUGUGACCCUGUGGCCUCCGCAGAAGCCGCCGCAGCCUCUCUAUGAUGGGAACUCGUCCGUCUGCAGCACAGCUGACUACAAGCCCCCCGAGGAGGACCCUGAGGAGCAGGCAGAGGAGAACCCCGAGGGGGAGCAGCCUGAGGAGUGCUUCACUGAGGCCUGCGUGCAGCGCUGGCCCUGCCUCUACGUGGACAUCUCCCAGGGCCGUGGGAAGAAGUGGUGGACUCUGCGCAGGGCCUGCUUCAAGAUUGUCGAGCACAACUGGUUCGAGACCUUCAUUGUCUUCAUGAUCCUGCUCAGCAGUGGGGCUCUGGCCUUCGAGGACAUCUACAUUGAGCAGCGGCGAGUCAUUCGCACCAUCCUAGAAUAUGCCGACAAGGUCUUCACCUACAUCUUCAUCAUGGAGAUGCUGCUCAAAUGGGU